CCCUAGUAACUGCGAGUGAAGCGGGAAAAGCUCAAAUUUAAAAUCUGGUGGUCUUUGGCCAUCCGAGUUGUAAUCUAGAGAAGUGUUAUCCGCGCUGGACCGUGUACAAGUCUCCUGGAAUGGAGCGUCAUAGAGGGUGAGAAUCCCGUCUUUGACACGGACUGCCAGGGCUUUGUGAUGCGCUCUCAAAGAGUCGAGUUGUUUGGGAAUGCAGCUCAAAAUGGGUGGUAAAUUCCAUCUAAAGCUAAAUAUUGGCGAGAGACCGAUAGCGAACAAGUACCGUGAGGGAAAGAUGAAAAGAACUUUGGAAAGAGAGUUAAACAGUACGUGAAAUUGCUGAAAGGGAAACGCUUGAAGUCAGUCGCGUUGGCCGGGAAUCAACCUUGCUUUUGCUGGGCGUACUUUCCGGUUGACGGGUCAGCAUCAAUUUUGACCGUUGGAUAAAGUUCAAGGGAAUGUGGCAUCUUCGGAUGUGUUAUAGCCUUUGUUCGCAUACAACGGUUGGGAUUGAGGAACUCAGCACGCCGCAAGGCCGGGUAUUUAUACUACGUUCGUGCUUAGGAUGCUGGCAUAAUGGCUUUAAUCGACCCGUCUUGAAACACGGACCAAGGAGUCUAACAUGCCUGCGAGUGUUUGGGUGGAAAACCCGAGCGCGUAAUGAAAGUGAAAGUUGAGAUCCCUGUCGUGGGGAGCAUCGACGCCCGGACCAGACCUUUUGUGACGGAUCCGCGGUAGAGCAUGUAUGUUGGGACCC
rnacentral:rRNA from 1 species